AGAGUUUGAUCCUGGCUCAGAACGAACGCUGGCGGCAGGCUUAACACAUGCAAGUCGAACGGGCCCUUCGGGGUCAGUGGCAGACGGGUGAGUAACGCGUGGGAACGUGCCCUUCAGUUCGGGAUAACCCAGGGAAACUUGGGCUAAUACCGGAUACGUGCGAGAGCAGAAAGAUUUAUCGCUGAAGGAUCGGCCCGCGUCUGAUUAGCUAGUUGGUGAGGUAAUGGCUCACCAAGGCAACGAUCUUUAGGUGGUCUGAGAGGAUGACCACCCACACUGGAACUGAGACACGGUCCAGACUCCUACGGGAGGCAGCAGUAGGGAAUAUUGCACAAUGGGGGAAACCCUGAUGCAGCGACGCCGCGUGAGUGAUGAAGGCCUUCGGGUCGUAAAGCUCUGUUGAAUGGGAAGAAAAAAAAUGACGGUACCAUUUAAGAAAGGAUCGGCUAACUUCGUGCCAGCAGCCGCGGUAAUACGAGGGAUCCUAGCGUUGUUCGGAAUCAUUGGGCGUAAAGAGUAUGUAGGCGGCCUAGUAAGUCAGUUGUGAAAGCCCCGGGCUCAACCCGGGAAGUGCAAUUGAUACGGCUGUGCUAGAGGAUGGAAGAGGGCCGCGGAAUUCCCAGUGUAGAGGUGAAAUUCGUAGAUAUUGGGAAGAACACCGGUGGCGAAGGCGGCGGCCUGGUCCAUUACUGACGCUGAGGCGCGACAGCGUGGGGAGCAAACAGGAUUAGAUACCCCCGUAGUCC
rnacentral:rRNA from 1 species